rnacentral:rRNA from 1 species
AACGUAGGAGACAAACGUUAUCCGGAGUUACUGGGCGUAAAGGGCGUGUAGGUGGUUUCGUAAGUCUGGCGUGAAAUUUUUCGGCUUAACCGGGAAAGGUCGUCGGAUACUGCGGAGCUAGAGGACGGUAGAGGCGUGUGGAAUUCCGGGUGUAGUGGUGAAAUGCGUAGAGAUCCGGAGGAACACCGGUGGCGAAGGCGGCAUCCUGGACCGGCAUUGACGCUGAGGAGCGAAAGCCAGGGGAGCAAACGGG